UUAUAAUACCCCUAUGUUUAUCGUUUCUCUUCUUCGUAUUUGCAGGAAAGAAGAAACCUAAUCCCUCUGUGUCGACGGCUUCCUUAUGGUUCUGAUUAUAGCAUUUCGUUGUAGAUAUAUUGGUCCCAAAUUUUGAUUGCAAGGUUGUAUUUUAUCUCCUUGCUCUGAUUUAUUCAAUUGGUGUAUCACUGUGAUGAUCUGUUUAGAUGCUGUGAUUUGGGCCCCUCGUCUUCAAUCCGAUGCUAACUUUGCGUGAACGAAAUUACGCACUGAAUAUGCAUAGCCUCUGGUGGUGUAUCUUUGGUGUGAUGUUGUUCUGUUGUCCAUCAUCUGAUCUUGGCCCUUUAUUUGAGUAUGUUGUACUCACUCCUUCGUAAUCAAUUAAACAUGAGGCAUGUAAUUCAAUUUUAUUUUGCUUUCGUUGCCUAAUUUUUGGUUAGUAUUGUUUUCUCUUUACUAAUGACAGUUGUUGUAGUUUAUUAGAAUUAACAAUGUAUUGAACUUUGAUGCAAGAGAACCAGAUUUUUUACUUAUUUGAUUUGGAAACAGCUGUAACUGUCGCCUGAGUACCCUUUAGUUACAAGUUAAUCAAAACAUAUGGGUUUUCAUGAUCCUGACCUUCAACUUCAGUACUUAUAUUUUGUCAGUAAAUUUAAUCAUGCCCACUGUAGCCCAAAAAAUCAUGUUUUCAGUGCUUGCUGAAUUUAUUUCUCUUAUAUUUGCUUUCUUCUAUCAUAGUGGGAUGUUAUGCAAUAUUAGGUGAGUAUUGUCUUCUCAUUCUGUGUAGUUGUUUGGGUUAUGUCACUUCUGUAAUCCUUUAUUUUCCUCUCUUUUCGUGAAAAUAACCAUUCUUUAACAUUUUUAUGUGUUUUCUUAUGUUCAAUCAGUUGUCUCUGUGAAUGUAUCAUAUCUAUAUUUUGCUCUCCUAAUAUUUAUGACUUGUUUUUCUCAGAUGAUGUCAUGUUAUCAUGUAUCACAAUCUGAGUAUAUUAAUAUUUUUGUUGGCUAUAAAUACUAUACAUGUUUGUGUUGAAGACAAAGGAAAUCUGAAGUUAUUCUUGUGUUAGUUCACUCAUUCACUCAUAAGAUGGAAACCACAAUGCUGCCUUUGUCUAAUGUUAGGAACAUUUCACCCAACUCAGGAAUGACUAACUUGAUUGCUAGAGUUAUUUCCUUGUGGAAAACUCCUGUUCCUUAUCUCCCCUAUGUGGUAGCUAGCAUUGAAAUGAUCUUGGUGGAUAAGGAGGUUGAUUUGUGAAUAUUUUUGCCAUCUAUAUUUGAGUCAAGUUACAUAGUUUGUUUGUUUAUCUUUAUGCUGUUUUGUGUGUUGUAUUUGAAAAUGCAUAGAAUCAUAAUUUUUUUUGCGGUUGGUUGUGUUAUGUUUGUAGGGUGUGAAAAUCCAAGCCUCGGUAGCUAAGCAUGUAGGAUCAGAUGUUGAUAUUGAAGUUGGUUUUGUUUACAAGUUUUCACAUUUUAGGGUGAUUCCAAAUGAUCGUCCACUUCGUUUUAACAACACUAGAUUCAGGCUUUGCUUUGAUGUGGAAACUACUAUUUUCUUAUUUGGGGAUCCUUCCAUUCCUCGUGAGGCAUGGUCGUUUUAUGACACAGCAGAAAUAGAAAGAUGCAGGGGAACCUUCUCACAUUUUAUAGAUUUUAUUGGGUUGAUGUUGGCUGUUUCCCCUGUCAGGCGUAUGGUUCAGUAUGGAAGGAUUAGGAAAAUGAUGAUUAUUGAGUUGAUAGAUCCAGCUGGUAGGAUUCGCUGUGUACUGCUUGGGGAGAUGGUUGACUUACUCAUGCUACAACUGUCCUCAAAUUGGGUCAAUAGGCCAAUUCUAACCUUGCAGUAUUUUCAGGCUAAAUAUAUUAGAGACAGAGUGAUCAUUCAAAAUGUGAAUCAUUUUUCAAAGCUAUAUAUCAAUACUGGCUUUGAAGUUGUUUCUGCAUUUACUCGAAGGCUGUUUGCUGAAGGUAUCAAGAUUGAAGAACCUGUUGGGUUUUUAUCUUGUCCUGGUCCCCAAAGUAAUAUCAGGGAUGAUAUGUUGUCUCUUCACCCAAGGAAAACACUGUCUCAACUGGUUGUAUCCAAUAAGGAUUCUGUGGUUAUUACCCAUGCUCGUAUUGUAUCUGCUUUUAGAGAUCAACCUUGGACAUAUCCCUCAUGCUUAUGUCAUGAGGAAUUGAUUGUGCGUGGUGGUGUGUAUGAGUGUGUUAGGUGUGAACGAUUUUUCUACAAGAUGCUGAGAAGGUACCGGCUUAAAGUAGAGGUGUUCGAUGGUUCAAAAAAUGCUGUUUUUUUCUUAAUGAUUCUCAAGUGAAGGAGUUGAUCAGUUUGUCUUCAGAUGAUCUGUUGUAUCCUCUGGAUUUAUUUAUUUCUUGAUGUAGUCUAUUGCUGAUGUUGACUUUCCACUGGAGGUUCAGGAAAAAGUUAUUGGCAAAGAAAUUUUGUUUAAAGUUUCUAAGAUUCCUGGGAUUAAAUUAAGGGGGUAUCCUUGCUUUGAGGUUCUUCGUAUGUGUGCUGAUCCUGAAAUCACAUCUGCGUUCUUUUCUGAAGUGGCCAGUUCUACAUCUAUGAUGGUGACGGAUGGUGAAGGUGAACAUGCUACAUAUGUUGCUGGAUAUGGAGAAAGAAUCAUUGAUGGUGUUCCAACAAACUUUGUGAAAAGAAAACUUGAAGUCUCUGGGAGUGAUGUUUAUGAAGAUGUAGGUAGCAAGUCAGGAAAGUUUGAAACAUGUGUGGUGCAGAAGCUAGAAAUCAGUAGCCAUGAUUUUGCCAAUGCUGAUGAUGGAAUGUUAGGUGAAAUUAAUCGCUUGAAGGCAAUUCAGCUAACUGAUGGUGGAUCCGAUUGUGAAGGUCAUUUGAUUCCAGUGGAUGGGUUCAAGGUCCGCGAAAAUCAUGAGCCUAAGUUUUAACUUGGUGACUUUUAGAUGUUUAUUACUUCGUGUUGACAUUAGCUUGCUGGGUAUUAUGUGUUAUUAUUAUGGAGGCCCCUUUUUUGUAUAUCUAUGGGUCCAUUGAACUAUGUUGUUUUUAAUUAACUUUCAUGGUAGAUGUCCUAUGUUACAAGUACAUGUAGUGUGCUGAACUUGAUUUAAAUCUGGUAUUUGUAACCUUUUGAGAACUGUGACUUGCAGUAUUGUAGCUUAAGUAACCAUGUUAUCAAUGUAUUUUGUGGUGUUUGUAAUUA